GGUGUAGCGGUGAAAUGCGUAGAGAUCUGGAGGAAUACCGGUGGCGAAGGCGGCUCCUGGACAAAGACUGACGCUCAGGUGAGAAAGCGUGGGGAGCAAACAGGAUUAGAUACCGUGGUAGUCCACGCUGUAAACGAUGUCGAUUUGGAGGUUGUGUCUUUGAGGCGUGGCUUCCGGAGCUAACGCGUUAAAUCGACCGCCUGGGGAGUACGGUCCGCAAGGUUAAAACUCAAAUGAAUUGACGGGGGCCCGCACAAGCGGUGGAGCAUGUGGUUUAAUUGGAUGCAACGCGAAGAACCUUACCUGGUCUUGACAUCCACAGAACUUAGCAGAGAUGCUUUGGUGCCUUCGGGAACUGUGAGACAGGUGCUGCAUGGCUGUUGUCAGCUUGUGUUGUGAAAUGUUGGGUUAAGUCCCGCAACGAGCGCAACCCUUAUCUUUUGUUGCCAGCGGUUAGGCCGGGAACUCAAAGGAGACUGCCAGUGAUAAACUGGAGGAAGGUGGGGAUGACGUCAAGUCAUCAUGGCCCUUACGACCAGGGCUACACACGUGCUACAAUGGCGCAUACAAAGAGAAGCGACCUCGCGAGAGCAAGCGGACCUCAUAAAGUGCGUCGUAGUCCGGAUUGGAGUCUGCAACUCGACUCCAUGAAGUCGGAAUCGCUAGUAAUCGUAGAUCAGAAUGCUACGGUGAAUACGUUCCCGGGCCUUGUACACACCGCCCGUCACACCAUGGGAGUG
rnacentral:rRNA from 1 species